GAGGGUAUAGCUCAAGCAGUAAAGCGCAUGCUUAGCAUGCAUGAGGUUCUGGGUUCAAUCCUCAGGACCUCCU
rfam:Camelus ferus unplaced genomic scaffold scaffold1484, whole genome shotgun sequence.